rnacentral:rRNA from 1 species
UACGAAGGGGGCUAGCGUUGCUCGGAAUCACUGGGCGUAAAGCGCACGUAGGCGGAUUGUUAAGUCAGGGGUGAAAUCCUGGAGCUCAACUCCAGAACUGCCUUUGAUACUGGGGAUCUCGAGUCCGGGAGAGGUGAGUGGAACUGCGAGUGUAGAGGUGAAAUUCGUAGAUAUUCGCAAGAACACCAGUGGCGAAGGCGGCUCACUGGCCCGGAACUGACGCUGAGGUGCGAAAGCGUGGGGAGCAAACAGG